GACGAACGCUGGCGGCGUGCUUAACACAUGCAAGUCGAGCGGAAAGGCCCUUCGGGGUACUCGAGCGGCGAACGGGUGAGUAACACGUGAGCAACCUGCCCUAGGCUUUGGGAUAACCCCGGGAAACCGGGGCUAAUACCGAAUAGGACCUCCGGUCGCAUGACCGGGGGUGGAAAGUUUUUCGGCCUGGGAUGGGCUCGCGGCCUAUCAGCUUGUUGGUGGGGUGAUGGCCUACCAAGGCGACGACGGGUAGCCGGCCUGAGAGGGCGACCGGCCACACGGGGACUGAGACUCGGCCAAGACGCCUACGGGAGGCAGCAGUGGGGAAUAUUGCGCAAUGGGCGGAAGCCUGAUGCAGCGACGCCGCGGGAGGGAUGACGGCCUUCGGGUUGUAAACCUCUUUCAGCAGGGACGAAGCGUAAGUGACGGUACCUGCAGAAGAAGCGCCGGCCAACUACGUGCCAGCAGCCGCCGUAACAC
rnacentral:rRNA from 1 species